CCAGUGCAAUAUUUACUGAUGAAACCAUCACACUAGGAUAAAUUUGAAGACUAUAAUGUUGUCUGAAAGCGAAGCCAGAGAGCUAAUAUUAGGCUCUCAGGUAUUAGAACAGACAAUAUCUUAUGAGGUCAAUUGGGAACAAAAAAAUUUAAUACAAAAGAAUUCUUACCCUUUGAAAUCUUGGUUGGGAUGGAGAGAGCCUGGAAGAAGGAGGUCUUCUCAGGACCCAGACCGGUGUUGUGGGCGGGGAUGACGACGGACAGAGGGGCGAUGGCACCGGGACGGGCUGGGGCACGCACUUUGUUCUCCAGCAGCUUGUCACGGACAUCGACGAGGUCUCCG